ACUUAUGGACGUAGUCUACCUUCAAAGCCUUUGACGCUGUCUCCCACAGUAAUCUCCUGGAGAAGCUGGCAGACUGAGUCUUGGACUGAUACACACUUUGCUGGGUAAAGAACUGUCUGGAUGGCCAGGCCCAGAGAAUGAUGGCAAAUGAACUUAAAGUCAGCUGAUCACGAAUGAUCAUGAAUGGUGUUCCCCAGGAGUUCGUACUGGGACCUGUCCUGUUCAGUAUCUUUAUUGAUGAUCUGGACGUGGGCAUUGAGUUCAUCCUCAGUAAGUUUGCAGUUGACACCACGUUGAGAGGAAGCGUUGAUCUGCCUGAGGGUGGCCCAAUGUGUUCAGAAGAAGAAAAAAAACUGAACAAAAAACAAAGAAAAUGGUCCAUGCUCUUAUUACUACAUACAAGAUUCAGGCAGAGUUACAAGGAAGGAGAAGGAAAGGAGGAGGAAAGACUCCAACCUGUGUGUCAGCAUAACUCCAGUUCUGUCUCUAUUCAGAAGGAAGUUAUGGCUGUGGAAUUAUGUUUACUCUGAAGAAGCCUUGAAACUCCAAGCUGUGAGAUGUGGCUGACACACCAGAGAGACGGGAUGCCAUCCAGAAAAACCUAGACAGGCUGAGCAGUGGGCCCAGGAGAACCUCAUGAGGUUCAACAAAGCCAAGUGCAAGGUCUUGCACCUGGGUCAAGGCAACCUCCAUUACCAAUACAAACUGAAAGGAUUGAGCACAGCCCUGCUGGGGGUACCGGUGGAUGGGAAGCUGGACAUGAGCCAGCAAUGGAGAAGUGAAGGUUCCAGAGAGACCUGAGAGCAGCCUGUCAGUUUCUAAAGGGGAGCUAUAAGAAAGAAGGGAACAGACUUUUUAGCAGGGUGUGUGGUAAUAGGAAAAGGGGAAAUGGUUUCAAAUUUAAGGAGGGGAGAUUUAGGUGGAGUAUAAGAAAACAGACUUUUACAGUGAGGGUGGUGAGGCACUGGAGCAGGCUGCCCAGAGAUGUGGUGGAUGCCGCAUCCCUGGAGACAUUGAAAGCUAGGUUGGAUGGGGCUCUGAGCACCUGGCUGUGCUGUGGAGUCCCUGUUCACUGCAGGGGAGUUGGACUAGACCAGAGGUCUCUCCCAGCGGUAAGAAUUCUACAAUUCUACGAUUCUAUUUUCAAAUUCCUUUACCAAAAUGAAAAGCACAGCUGCAUAUCCUUUGCUGUUCGGAGCGCUGUGUUCAGCCAGUGUAUCAAGAUGCACACAGUGAUGUGCCCUCACUUGAGUCAGCACUGCACAGCACUGCCCUCCCCGUGCCCUGCUUUCAGUCCACGCAGCGUUAAUGGCGCUCUGACUGCGGUUACUGCUGAGCGAUGGGUGCGUGCCCAGGGCUGCUCUGCAGGUAAGAGCCUCUGCCUCUAAAUCACGGGGAGGGGAGUGGACAUGCCUGUUACCUCUUCAGGGCAGCGUGGACCUAGGAAAAGUAUUUCCAAAACCAAAGGUCUACGCAAAGUACCUAGCACCCUCUUGUGUUCGUGGUGCGCAGAGAUCAAAUGCACCAGAACAUGU
rnacentral:lncRNA from 1 species